rnacentral:rRNA from 1 species
UGAGGAAUAUUGGGCAAUGCCCGCAAGGGUGACCCAGCAACGCCGCGUGGAGGAUGAAUGUCGUAAGAUUGUAAACUCCUGUUAGAGGGGAAGAAUAGUACCGGUUGGACCGGUAUAUGACUGUACCCUCAGAGAAAGCCCCGGCUAACUACGUGCCAGCAGCCGCGGUAAUACGUAGGGGGCAAGCGUUGUCCGGAUUUACUGGGUGUAAAGGGCGCGCAGGCGGGAUAAAAAGUCAGUGGUGAAAUCCUACAGCUUAACUGUAGAACUGCCUUUGAUACUUUCAUUCUUGAGUUCGGGAGAGAGAGACGGAAUUCCAGGUGUAGUGGUGAAAUACGUAGAUAUCUGGAAGAACACCAGUUGCGAAGGCGGUCUCUUGGUCCGAUACUGACGCUGAGGCGCGAAAGCGUGGGGAGCAAGCA